rnacentral:rRNA from 1 species
UGGGGAAUAUUGCGCAAUGGGCGAAAGCCUGACGCAGCAACGCCGCGUGAGUGAUGAAGGCCUUCGGGUCGUAAAGCUCUGUCGGAGGGAACGAAUGCUCUUGAGGUUAACAGCCUCGGGAGGUGACGGUACCCUCAAAGGAAGCACCGGCUAACUCUGUGCCAGCAGCCGCGGUAAUACAGAGGGUGCAAGCGUUGUUCGGAAUCAUUGGGCGUAAAGGGCGUGUAGGCGGUAUGUUAAGUCAUGUGUGAAAUCCCCGGGCUUAACCUGGGAAUUGCGCUUGAAACUAUGCGGCUAGAGUGUGGCAGAGGGGGGUGGAAUUCCACGUGUAGCAGUGAAAUGCGUAGAGAUGUGGAGGAACACCGAUGGCGAAGGCAGCCCCCUGGGCCAACACUGACGCUCAGGCACGAAAGCGUGGGGAGCAAACAGGAUUAGAUACCCAAGUAGUCCCUGAGCGGGCUGGCAAGGCGCAU